rnacentral:tRNA from 1 species
CACUUAGUAGCUCAGUUGGCAGAGCGAGAGACUGUAAUUGGUUAAAUCAAGUCAGACAUUUAUCUCUAGGUCCCCGGCUCGAAUCCGGGCUGAGUGA